UAUCUCUCCGUACGGGGAAGGAUGAAAAGCUUCGACUAAGGUUCGAUUCGAGCGAAAGCGAGAAAGCGUUGCCAACGGCAACGACCCGAAGGGCGAAGCGCGCAGCGCUGAGUAAUCCUUCCCCCGUCAUCC
rnacentral:sRNA from 1 species